rnacentral:rRNA from 1 species
UACGGGAGGGUGCAAGCGUUAAUCGGAAUUACUGGGCGUAAAGCGUGCGUAGGCGGUUCGUUAAGUCUGUUGUGAAAGCCCCGGGCUCAACCUGGGAAUGGCAAUGGAUACUGGCGAGCUAGAGUGUGUCAGAGGAUGGUGGAAUUCCCGGUGUAGCGGUGAAAUGCGUAGAGAUCGGGAGGAACAUCAGUGGCGAAGGCGGCCAUCUGGGACAACACUGACGCUGAGGCACGAAAGCGUGGGGAGCAAACAGG